rnacentral:rRNA from 1 species
GAUGAACGCUGACAGAAUGCUUAACACAUCAGCAAUUGAUUGGUGGCGGACGGGUGAGUAACGCGUAAAGAACUUGCCUCUCAGCUAGGGACAACAUUUGGAACCGAAUGCUAAUACCUAAUACUGUGGGAGAGCUUUGCGUCCCAUUAGCUAGUUGGAGAGGUAACGGCUCACCAAGGCGAUGAUGGGUAGCCGGCCUGAGAGGGUGAUCGGCCACAAGGGGACUGGGACACGGCCCUUAUGCCUUCGGGAGGCAGCAGUGGGGAACAGUGGAAAAUUGACCAAAGUCUGAUCCAGCAAUUCUGGGUGCAAGAUGAUGUUUUCGGAAUGUAAAGUGCUUUAAGUUGAGAAGCGGUACCAACAGAAGAAGUGACGGCUAAAUACGUGCCAGCAGCCGCGGUAAUUC